UACGUAGGUGGCAAGCGUUGUCCGGAAUCACUGGGCGUAAAGCGCGCGCAGGCGGCGAUCUACGUCUGGGGUGAAAGCCCGGAGCUCAACUCCGGGACUGCCUUGGAUACGGGAUCGCUUGAGGAUUGGAGAGGCAAGGGGAAUUCCACGUGUAGCGGUGAAAUGCGUAGAUAUGUGGAGGAACACCUGUGGCGAAGGCGCCUUGCUGGCCAAUUACUGACGCUGAGGCGCGAAGGCGUGGGGAGCAAACAGG
rnacentral:rRNA from 1 species